rnacentral:RNase_P_RNA from 1 species
GAAGCUGACUAGACAGUCGCUGCCUGCAUUUGUAGGGAGAGGAAAGUCCGGGCUCCAAAGAGGGGGAUGUCGGCUAACGGCCGACCACUGUGAAGUGAGGAAUAGGGCCACAGAGACGAGCGUAUUUAGUUACGGUGAAACGCGGUAACCUCCAUCCGGAGCAAGACCAAAUAGGCAGGUGUUGACGUUGCUCGCCGAAUCUGCGGGUAGGUUGCUUGAGCUUAUGGGUAACCAUAUGCCUAGAGGAAUGACUGUCCAUGACAGAACCCGGCUUAUCGGUCAGCUUCUCCU